rnacentral:lncRNA from 1 species
AUCUUGGGGGGGUUCUAUGCGUGCGAUCGAGAACAGGGCCAAGAGAAGAGCCAAAAACCCUAACAACCAAAAAUCAUCAAAUUGAUAAGGAGAUCAAGGGAAAAAUCGAAUGCAUGGGUCUGGAUACUCUUUAAUCUAAGUGUAUUGAUCAUAAGAUUGUAUGAAUUUGAGUUUGAACGUGUCAAGGAGAGCUCAAGCAUACGAGGAUAACGGGUCAAGAUAAGGCAAGGUGACAAAUACACUUAUUGGAGUACUCAAGGUUAUGAAUGUCGGACUUUCAAAGUGUUGAUAUAAUAAUGAAACGGUUGAAUCUUGAAAGGAUAAUCGGAUUGAAGUAACUUAUGCGGU